UACGGGGGGGGCAAGCGUUGUUCGGAAUUACUGGGCGUAAAGGGCGUGUAGGCGGCCAACUAAGUCCGACGUGAAAUCCCCAGGCUUAACCUGGGAACUGCGUCGGAUACUGGAUGGCUUGAAUCCGGGAGAGGGAUGCGGAAUUCCUGGUGUAGCGGUGAAAUGCGCAGAUAUCAGGAGGAACACCGGUGGCGAAGGCGGGUCUCGUGGGCAGUGAACUGACGCUGGAGGAGCGAAAGCGUGGGUAGCAAAC
rnacentral:rRNA from 1 species